rnacentral:pre_miRNA from 1 species
UAAGUACUCUCUCCGUCCCAAAAUUCUUGUCUUAGAUUUGUAUAGAUAUGGAUGUAUCUAAUACUAAAAUGUGAUUUGAUACAUCCGUAUUUAGACAAAUUUAAGACAAGAAUUUUAGGACGGAGGAAGUAUUUA